GGUCGUAAUGGGGAAGUUCAACUAUGGCGGGCGUCCUUUGGAAGUUAAGAUACUGGAAUCACUUCGGCCAAACGAUGUUCAAAUAACUCGAACGGACAAACGACACAUCGUUGGUUUUGUGUUUCCGGUUCGAAAGAAAGGCUAACUAGCUAACGGCAAGUGUAGCCAAGAAUUCACAUUUCUGUUUUCCCUGCUUGUUUUUUGGAGGUCGCAUCGGAAAAAUUCUGAUUCAGCAAAGGAGGACAUAUUCAUAGAUGGCUCAGAAAGAGGAAUUGAUUAAAUUGUGAGUCUCUGCGGCACAGAAGGAAAAAAAGAAAAGAAAACCUCACUCAAAGGAAACUACAGUAAAGCCCCAGAGGCCAAGUGCCGUAAGACAGAUCGCAUGUUUUCCCCAAGAUUUCCAUAAUUCAUGGCUCCUGAAAUACGAUGGAGGGAAAUACUCUGCAGAAACCUGGAGAAGUGACAUCCGCCUUGACAUUCUUGAGCUUGGCAGCAGAAAGUGUCAAGGGGGCGGAACAGUCUGAAAAAGAGAUGCAUCACUGACAGCUGUUCAUCUUGGAGAAAUGAGCUAAAUCCAAAGCCUGCAGUAGUUCUCCCCAGGCCAACGCUUUUCAGCAGCUUCUCCAGGCUCUUGCUGGGAGACCUCCAGGACGUUCAAAACACUCUAACACACCCAAUUCCACCUGCGGGCCAGUGGAACCCGACAGGGGAUUUCACUACGCUGAUGACGGGGCACACUCUU